rnacentral:tRNA from 1 species
GCCCGUCAUGGGUCGCGGCAGGCCGGCCCGGCAUCGCUGCCGGGGGCGGACGGUCAUGAUAUGCACGGGGCGUUCCGCGCAGCUUGGCGGGCGC